GGAGAGAUGGCCGAGCGGCUGAAGGCGCUCCCCUGCUAAGGGAGUAUGGGGUUAAUAGCUCCAUCGAGGGUUCAAAUCCCUCUCUCUCCGCCA
rnacentral:tRNA from 3 species